rnacentral:lncRNA from 1 species
GUACUUACAUUGGUGGUGGAAAUAUGAAGCAAAACCACGGCUCUUACAUGACAUACUUGGAUACAUGGGCUUUAACAUGUGAAUAUGUACGGUGAACAAAAUCUAGUAUGGCAAAUAGAGAUGUUGAGAGUUAGUUUUGAUGGACUAUGAACAUAAACAUGCAAAAGGGAUUCAAAAUACAUAAUUUAAACUCUUGAACAACUACUAUUGCCUUUGCUUUUUGUUUACAUGUUUGUAAAUGUCAAGUAUAAACAUUCCCUAGAUUGUCGGGCUAGUGUUGCUGUAGUGUUUGCAUUUGUGAGUUGAAGAGAUGUUUGUGAAGUGUUUUACUGUACCAUGUUGGUAGCUAGAUGGUCUUCAUUUUGGAGUUGCAAGUCACGGGAAAAGAUGGCUUUUAUGGGGUCUUGUUGGCCAUUGCUUCUAUAUUUACAGUUUUGAUGUAUAAGAUGUGCUCAUGUGUAGUUGUUUACCAUCUGUUCUUGUUGGGAUGUUCAUUAAAAGUAGAUAAAAGUGUAUUUAUGAAAAAGGAAAAAGGUAUGUAGAAAAUUUUAAUUUUGAGAUAGGUACCUCAGAAGUUUGUUUCAUCACUUUGUUUGCUAGGCAUUUCAAGAAUGUUUCAGUGGAAUUUCCAAUCAUUG